rnacentral:lncRNA from 1 species
CCAUUGCACUCCAGCUUGGGCAACAAGAGCGAAACUCCAUCUAAAAAAAAGAAAAGCUUAGCCAGGCAUGGUGGCACACACUUGUGGUCCCAGCUACUCAGGAAGCUGAGGUGGGAGGAUCACUUGAGCCCAGGGAGUCAAGGCUGCAGGAAGCCAUGAUCAUGCCACUGUACUCCAGCCUGGGCAACAGAGCAAGACUGUCUCAAAAAAAGGGUGGGGGGUAUGCAGGGAGGGAUGAAACUUCCAUAAAUACACCAUAGCAUUUAAAUCAGGGGACUUGGAUUCUUUUCCUUGGAGAUAUACUCUGAAGACCCCAGUUUUGUGACUGACAUUAGUGAGUUCAGCAUAAAAUUAUUUUUUUUAGCAGCAGGCAGUGGCAGCUUACAAAGGGCCUUGCCUGCCCUGCCAAUUCAGAGAUUCUGGCUUGCAGAGAAAACAAGGUAAUUUCCUAUUAUUCUUGGGCGGGUAGGAAUUGGUUGGGAACUAUGAUAGAAAACAUUAAAAGGUUUAGCCCUGGAGCAGAAUUAUGCUAGCCUUGUAAUUAAGGCAAAUUUUUGGUGGACGAUAUCAAAUCUACUUGUUUUAAACUUUAAAUCCAUUUUACAAAGAAUUGAAUCUAAAGAAUAGAAUGUACUAGAACAACUUCAGUGAAACUCUGAAAUGUGGAAUUGUAAAGUGCAGCUCCUCAGUGACCCAACAACUCAGUGGGGGAAGAUUGACGUAACACAGGAGACUACAUUUGUUCAGAAAAGCAAACAAUCAGUGUGGCCUACAUUUGUUCAGAAAAGCAAACAAUCAGUGUGGCCUAGACUAGUGAGGGGCAAGUUUGGAACUAACAUGGCAGGAUGUAGAGGAUUGGGAGAGUGAGUGGGAGGGAGGUGAUCCCAGGAGCCUAGAACAACCCUCAUGAAGGCCCAGGGUUUUUCAUGGGCAGGAGGGUUCAGGGCCUGAAGUGACUGUAGUAGAAACACUGAAUGGGCCAAACAGCCAAGAUGAGCAGGAUGGCAGCUCCUUUUGUGGGGACUUGAAAGUCAGACAGAAUUGGGAGAUAGUUUGGUUUUCUUCACAGCAUAUUAAUGCUCUGAAAUUAAAAUUGCCUUUUAAUACAGCAUAUACUUAGUUAUAAUCCUGCUUCAUGAGAAGAAAAUGCUCAUUUGUAAAGUCAUCUCUGACUGGUUUAUCAUUUUGCCCUUUUCCAAAACACUUGGAAAGUAACCAGUUUCCCUGAAAGAAAAGGCAAAGUUUUGAGCAGUUGUUAUUAAAUUAGAGGAGGUGCUUCUGUACAAGGGGAAGUCGGUAGCUGGGAAGCUGAUAGCACAGAUCCCACCAUAGUCCAUUUCAUAGACAUUUAAUUCAGUAACCCUGCCUCCGAGGAGACCUGUAGUGAAACUGACCACAAAGCUAAUGGAAUAUUUAAGUUUGGGCUUCUUAAAGGAAAAAAUAUGUGACAACUCAUUCUCAUCUAUGGGGCAGCAGACAUCCAGUCCACUGCUGACAGACUACCUGCCCCUUUCAGAAUCCGGUCUCUCUUACUCCCUGAUUCAGAUCCUUAGCCUCAUUCCGAAGUGCUUUGAGACCACUCUGUGCCUUUAGACAAAUUACAUGUCAACUAUAAUUCACAUACCAUAAAAUUCAUCCUCUUAAAGUGUACAAUUCAGUGGUUUUAAAUGUAUUCACAGAGUUACACAACCAUCACCAGAACAUUUGCAGUCCCAGCUAUUUGUGAGAUGGAAGUAGGAAGAUCGCUUGAGCCCAGGAGGUUGAGGCUGCAGUGAACCAUGAUCAUGCCACUGCACUCCAGCCUGGGUAACAGAGUGAGACCCUGUUUCAAAAACAAACAAACAAACAAAUAAAAAACUCAACUUCUUGUGUAUUGUAUGUAAUACUCUAUGAGUAACUUCCCUUUUUUAUCAUUGUAUUUGUUUGUUCAGUAUUCUGGGUCUUUUAAAGCAGUGGUUCCCAAAGGUUAGUCACAAAGUAAUCUUUUAGGGUGCUUUAUAAAAAUACUGAUUCCUGGGCCCUACCCCUAGAGAUUCUGAUCACUGGUGGAAGAGGCAGGUCUAGGAAGUGGGGACUCCAAGAUCUGUAUUUUGUAAAGUUUUCUAGGUGCUUCUGAUGUGCAGCUUGGUUUGUGAAAGUAUGUGAUGUUGCAUAGUGUGGCUGAAACUGGUUUCAUUUAAGGGUCCCAUCAUUGCCAACUCCUGAAUAUGUCCACUAUUUCUCUGAGAAUUCCAACUGCUCAGAACUUUGCUUAAGGAGGGGAGGGGACAGCCUCCAUCUUUCCAUUACAUGCAUGACUGGACCAAGAAUGGAGUCCUGAACCAGUCUAGGCCAGUACAAUUUUCUCUCCCAGGAACUUGGAAUUUAGACCAAGACUUGAAAUGAGUCAUGAGUGGGCACUAACUGGAAAGAUUUUUUAGAGCUAGGGAAGCCAUUUUCCACCAAAUGUUCACUAAUGGAGACUCUAUCUUAAAGGAAAAGUGGAGAGAAGGAAACAGAUGGGCAAAGAAAAGUGUCAGCAAGAGACUUAGAGAUGGAGAACCAUCUUGAUUACUUACUUUCCGGUUUUCUUGUCCCUGCCCCUUGUGAGACCCAAUUUUACCUCCUGCCUUUGGAGACUAUAAGUUACUGCUUCUAGUAAAUUGUCUUGUUUGAAUGAGUUUCUGUUUUUACAAUUAAAUAACUUGAGAUUAAGGUAAUUUAAGCCUAAAACAAUUUAGAUGGCAUCUAAAGAAGCACUUCUAAAUCCUGCAUUCUUAUAGACCAAUACUAAAUGUCCCACUUCCUAUGUGACUGUCUGGUCAUGUCCAGCCUUAUUUCUAAUUGCUGAGACAGAAGUUAAACCCCUCCAGUCAAAAAAAGAAUCAGUCUUUUUAUCAUACACAGGAAAAAUAUCAUAGCUGAAUUACUUCCUUGACUUCUAUGGAGGGAAAAACUAGCUCAUAUGUCUGGAAUUUAAUUUUUCCUAAUCCAUAGUUACAUAUCCCACUACUUUCUCCUUAUUGAUGGAAUAGAAUAUUAGUAAUAAAAUAGUAAUAAAAAUGAGUGAUAAAUAAAAUAGAAAAUGUCUGUACAAUGUUAAAGGAUUUUCAUUUUUUAUACUCUUCACAACCCUAUGGGAUAGACAAGGAUGGUGUCAUUAGCCCAAUUUCUUAAUUUGAGAAAACUAAACCAAAAGUAGUUCAUUUUAUUUAUCAAAUAUCUAUUGAAUAUUUCUUAUGUUCCAUGAAUAUACUUCCCUGUUCUCAGGAGCUUAUCUUUUAGCAGGGAAGGCAGAUAAGCUAUUACCAUAAGGUAAUCUGUGAGUUAAGAGAAGAACCAGAACAGGCCUUCUAAAGUGAAGGCCCCUAUCCCUUGGCUCUAGCUAUACCCACAGUCAUCUAAUUCAUUCUAAGUACAUGAUGAGAAUCUUAAAAGAUGAGGUACCAGAUAUAACUUACUUGAGGGAAAUUUAAUUUCUUUUGUUUUUUUCUACCCUACUGCAAAUUCAAAAUGCUCCACAUUUAACACAUUUCGUAUUCUCAUUCCCCACCCAAAAGAACUGUUGUUCCCCGUUCACAGUUCCACAUGGCUGGGGAGGUCUCAGGAAACUUACAAUCAUGGUGGAAGGGGAAGAGGCAUGUCUUACAUGGUGGCAGGCAUGAGAGAGCAAACAAGUGAAGGGGGAAGAGUUCCUUAGAAAACCAUCAGAUCUCAUGAGAACUCACCUCAUAGAUUUCCUGAUUCAUGGUAUUGCAGCACCAUCAGAUUCCCAAGCACUGCUCUUCUUCUCUCACUCUCCCACUUUGAAUAAGUGCUGUCAGC